rnacentral:lncRNA from 1 species
GUAGAAAAAUUACACGAAACGAGAAUUGGGUAAGGGCUCAUUGGAAGAAGUUGUAAGUAUUGGGCCACGACGGCCCCGUCGGGCUUUGUCCAUGGUUUUCGGCUCACCUGCCAUUCGUUUUGCUUUGAUAUGGCCACAAGGGUGCUCAGAAUUGAAUUCUGAGUGAGUAGGAGAAUUUUUUACUUCUUUUGGAGGUCGGAGGUUGCUCCGGUGCGUCGACGGUCGACAAUCGGCUUCCUUCUCUGAUAACUGGUCCUUUUUCUCUGGCGGGAGGGCGAGGGAGGGGGUUGGCUACUAGGGUUUAUAUUCUAUGUGAUGCGAAAUAUUUAU